AAGCGCGCGUAGGUGGUUUGGUUAAGUUGGAUGUGAAAUCCCCGGGCUCAACCUGGGAACUGCAUUCAAAACUGACUGACUAGAGUAUGGUAGAGGGUGGUGGAAUUUCCUGUGUAGCGGUGAAAUGCGUAGAUAUAGGAAGGAACACCAGUGGCGAAGGCGACCACCUGGACUGAUACUGACACUGAGGUGCGAAAGCGUGGGGAGCAAACAGGAUUAGAUACCCUUGU
rnacentral:rRNA from 1 species